UUCCUAUAUGAACACUGUUGC
rnacentral:miRNA from 1 species